AAUUAAUUCAAAUUUAAUUGUUAAUACUCUCGAACAUGCAGCAACUUCCUGGCAAAGCCGAAGUAACCUAUACGUAUACACUCCAGUGAUCAUGAUUUUCACUCUGUUGAUCACGGACUUCUAACUUCAACAGCAAAGCCGUAACCUAUACCUGUACAUCAGAUCAGAAAUCUGAUUCUAAUUUGUUAACAUUACCCGUCUCAUUUG
rnacentral:misc_RNA from 1 species